rnacentral:rRNA from 1 species
GAUCAUAGCUCAGAUUGAACGCUGGCGGCAGGCCUAACACAUGCAAGUCGAACGGUAACAGGAAGCAGNUUGCUGCUUUGCUGACGAGUGGCGGACGGGUGAGUAAUGUCUGGGAAACUGCCUGAUGGAGGGGGAUAACUACUGGAAACGGUAGCUAAUACCGCAUAACGUCGCAAGACCAAAGAGGGGGACCUUCGGGCCGUCUUGCCAUCGGAUGUGCCCACGAUGGGAGUUAG